GCGAAGUGGACGCCAAACGGGCCUUGUGGGAACUUGAGAGCAGCGUGUAUCUUGAAGAUCUGCGAAAUAGCAGAUUUUCAGUGAGCUGUACCGGUACACUUUGACAGGUAUGGUGCUGUUUGACUUUUUCCUCUCUAGUCUUGUCACCACUUUUCCCCUUACCUUAAGAGCAGGGAGGAGAGAGGGGGGAGGGCUUCUUCCUCCUCUGCUGUGCUUCUUCCUCUUCCCCCUUGGCUGAGUAGAGGUGGUGGAGGAGCUCUAGGGAGAAGUUCAAGCUUCGUCGACGACGCGCCGCGGAGCGGAUCGAGGGUGCUUUCAACAUUGUGACGCUGCGAGGAGGCCGGGCGACUGCUGUCCCUUACCAUCCUCGACGUGGUGCUGCUCCCAGGGCGGUUGUCGAGGAGCGUCGGAUCGCGGUGAUUCUUGCGUCAUUGGAUCCGGGACUUCGAGACGAAUCCAGAGGAUCCUUACUCGCCCGAUUUGGAGAAGGUUUGCCCUGUAGAAACCCCUUUUUACUGAGCUGCUGUUUGCCGAGCAGAUUCUGAAUUGCUGAACCGUAGUUUCCAGCGUCGACGCUCAGUGUUUUGGCUUGUUCUCUGCGUAGGAGCGUCGGAAUUCAGCGAAACUUGAUUUACUGGAUUCGCGGCUUCGAGACGAAGAUUCUGAGCCCAAGAUUGGAAUUUUUAGAUGAGAUCCCAGCGUCGGCCUUCGGUACUUCGGCUCGUGCGCGACGUAGGAGCGACGGAUCGCGACGAAAUCGGGUUUGCUGGAUUCUAGACUGCGAGAAGAAUCCACAGAGUCCAAGUUUGCUGGAUUUGGAAAGCAGGUGGAUUCGGUUUUGAGCGGGACGCGUUGGGUUUUCGCGGACUCGGCCACUCUCUUCGUUGCCAGGAGAUUAGCGAUCGAGGACCUUCGGUCUCGGCUGCUGCUCCUUCUGAGGCGGAUCGCGGCAAGGGCGUCGCGAGCUAGAGCCCUUCCCGACUGGUGCUGAGUUAGCAGUUUUCCCCUACUGCAGGUAGUGUGCUCGUGUUUUGGGAGCUAUGUACAUAUUUGUGAACUCGUUGGAGCGAGUGCUUUUGUAUAGAGAUUUUUGUAUGUAUAUAGACUCGUUCUUUCUCUACC